rnacentral:rRNA from 1 species
AUUGAACGCUGGCGGCAGGCCUAACACAUGCAAGUCGAGCGGAUGAAGGGAGCUCGCUCUUGGAUUCAGCGGCGGACGGGCGAGUAAUGCCUAGGAAUCUGCCUGGUAGUGGGGGAUAACGUCCGGAAACGGGCGCUAAUACCGCAUACGUCCUGAGGGAGAAAGUGGGGGAUCUUCGGACCUCACGCUAUCAGAUGAGCCUAGGUCGGAUUAGCUAGUUGGUGGGGUAAGGGCCUACCAAGGCGACGAUCCGUAACUGGUCUGAGAGGAUGAUCAGUCACACUGGAACUGAGACACGGUCCAGACUCCUACGGGAGGCAGCAGUGGGGAAUAUUGGACAAUGGGCGAAAGCCUGAUCCAGCCAUGCCGCGUGUGUGAAGAAGGUCUUCGGAUUGUAAAGCACUUUAAGUUGGGAGGAAGGGCAGUAAGUUAAUACCUUGCUGUUUUGACGUUACCAACAGAAUAAGCACCGGCUAACUUCGUG